rnacentral:ncRNA from 2 species
CACCACUGCUGGGGGUGCCGCGUCAGUGGCUGAGACUCGCUUGGGCGAGAACCCCUUGAACCUGAUCCGGGUCAUGCCGGCGGAGGGAAGCAGGGUGCCAAUGGG